rnacentral:lncRNA from 1 species
GGAAUUUUCUUGCAUUUCAAGGUACAUGGAUGAUCAUAUGAUCUCAAAAUAAGGUGUGCUUUAAUGUCUCUUGAUUGAAUUGCUCGAUGUUUGAGGUAACUUUUCGAAGAAGGCAUGGAAAUAAACACAUGAACCUUUGACUUUCUUUGAGAAAUAAGCCACAAAACUUUGAGAUACUCUUGAUCAAAAUGAGAUUGAAAGAUGCUUGAGAACGUUAGAGGUCAUGCUUUGAGAGAUAAGCCCCUUGAAAAUAAAUGGUUAAACACACUUUGACAUGAGGAAUCAACAAAAUCCUAGCUGAGGAGCCAUGAUUGAUGCUCUUGAUGAAAAACCAUACCUCACACAAUAAACAUACUUUGCUCUUCUUUUUGUCAGCUUCCAAUUUUUUAGCGGCUUUCUCGUCGAACACAGCGCUACACUUUGGACAUAGAAUCGCUUUUGACCCACUUAGUUUGCACUUCUCUUGGAAAUCUGUUAGGUUUUCACUUGCUUGGGGAUAAGCUGAUUCCAGUUCCUCUUCAUCUCUCAUGUCGAAUCCAUCAGUAGUUUAAACCAUUAAUACUUCAAAAGAUUCAUCUAGAGAAACAACAUCUAGAUACUCCAUGAGACCAUCAGUAGUCUCCAUCAUCAUGCAUUCAAGAGGUUUAGAGUACAAGGCUUCUUCAAGCUUCAGAGGAUCAGAGUCCACUUGCAUCUUUGGCCUUUCGCCAAAUUGAAGCCUUCCUUCUUUCCACGCUUUUUACACCAAGUCCCUAAAAAUAACACAUUGAUAAGUUUUAUGACCAAGAAAGUUAUGAAACUCACAAAAUCCCUUUUUCUUUUUCUGUUCUAUAGGGGGGUCCUUUAAACCCUGAGGAACAAUGAUUUGACCAUCUUUAACCAAUAAAUCAAAUAUCUCGUCACACUUAGACACAUCUAACGUGUAAGUUUUAGCAACUUAUUUAUCUAUUUUUUCGGCUUCAAUUGGAUUUUUUACCCAUUCGAUGGUUUUAAUAGUUUACAUGUGUAAGGAGGUCCAGGCUUGAGUUCAACCAUGUUGACCUCGCUUUCAUCGACAAACUCUUCAUCGUCAUAAGAGUAUUCCUCAACUGCUAUGUAAGACACUUUCUCUUUCUUAUGGUAUCAAUCAGUCUUGGUCUUUUCAGCUUUCAGGCGUUCGAUGUGUCGAACUCUGUCAGCUAAUUGCACCAUAUCCCUCAGAUACUGGGUAUCCAGCUUCUUUAUGAUAGAAUAUUCUAAACCACCUGCGACUAUCUUGACUAACUCGUGCUCAGGAACUUGAGUAAAGCAUCUAGCCUUCAACCAUCUAAACCUGUUGAGGUAUUGAUCAACUGACUUAGCGGUCUUUCGUUUGAUGUUGGCUAGUUCUUUUAGACUUAUUUUCGACUGUCCCAUGUAAUGUUCAUGGAACAAUCUCUCUAACAUCGUCCAUGUUUGAAUAGAUUGUGGAGGUAGCAUCGUAAACCAUGUGAACACAUUUUUUGUAAGAGAACUUGGAAAUUAUUUCAACUUCAAAUCCUCAUUAUUUGAUAUGUCUCCAGCUUCGGUUUAAUAUCUGGCAACAUGUUCAACGGUAGAUUCUUCAGUAUAUCCAGUGAACUUGGUGAAUUUUGGAACCUUCCACCCCCUAGGAAAUUCUGUUUGUAAAACAAAAUCUGGUAAAGGGGAAGAGCAUGUCGACCUUUGUAGGUAUGGGUUUAUUCUAUUUCUCACUAUGAUCCGUUCAACAAUAAGCUCUAAGUUUUGCUCCCCAACCGUUGCCUCUUGUCGAAUCUGCUUGACCACAUGGUCGGGAUCCCGGUUCCUAUCAAUUAAUACAACGGGAGGCCUUCGAGCCACCCUAGGAAUUUGUUCGACUUCCUGGUAUUCUUGUUUGACCAUUUCGUCUAGCAUCUCUUCUUGUCGGCCCGGGGUUUCUGGUCGAGGUGGAGGUGGGGGAGUCUGACGAACUUGCGCUCUAGAAGCCCCUAGGAAAUUCCUUAUUAUGGUCACCUGAGUUGCCAGUUGUUGGUAACUCUGGGUCGAAUCCUGAAUUAAAGGUCUCAGUAUGGUGUCUAGUUGAUGAGUCAGCAUGUGGACCAUUUCAAGAUUACUUUCAUCCAUCUGAUGUCUCAUGACCGCGACAAAACUUGAUGUGAAAGUUGGGACUGACUGAGAUGACAAUCCAAAACCUGGGGGUCGACCAAAUUAGUUUGUCGAUGGUCCUAACCCCUGGUAGCGUGAGAAUGGAGACGAUGAUGUUUCGCUGAAUGUCGAAUCGAUAUUAUGCAUACUUUCCAUAAACCCAGUUGGCAUUCCUAACAUUUUGUGCAUGAGGACUGUAAAAUUGGGCAUAUAUUGCCCUGAAGUUCCUAUCGUCAUCGACGUCGGAGUUUGAGGCUAAUGUGGUGUUAGAAUUGGUCCAUUAUUUUCAGUCGAGACCGUAGGUAUAGUGUCGGAACCAACAUCGGUUGUUUGUGACGCGACUGUGUCUCCCCCCGAAGAUGUUUCUUCGUGUGGUCAUGGUGACACCAUCUUUCCACUCCGUUGUUACAUAUACUGAACACAACGUGUUCCACCAGAUGUGCCAAUUUAUUUACGCAAAAAUCUCUAGCCUUCCUAUCGAUGUUUACUUGCAGGGUCGGCUACAAAGUCCUAGACUGAUAUGUGUUAAGUAUAUGGUGGUUUUGUUGGUAAAGUGUUUGGAAUACUAGAACAAUAAGUGAAAUGUUUGCAAAAUAGAGAAAUGCAGUAACAGUAAGAAAGGAUAAAAACAAGAUAAAUAUGUAAAUGAACAAAGCAAAUGAAAAUAACUUGACAAGUUAAAUGGUUUGAAAAUAAAGGUGGAAGCAGAAGUACAUUUUGGCAGGAAGUUAACUUUUUUCUCUUAAACGCUUGAUACUUCAAGUGUUUUCCUAUUAUAAAGCUACCAAUACCAUCCUCCUGGAAUGAAAAUCACAUCUACUUAAAUAGUAAAUAAAAUAACUGUUGGGAGGUCAUGAUGCAUUUAUGAUGCGCCACGUGUCGGAGCCUAUCACCCAUGUUGCUGGUAACUUCCCACUUUCUGCUUCCCACAAUCAGUUCCCAUUAUGGUACGCUUACCUUUGACUUCGACAGAAAACUUGUAUAGUGAAUCAUAAAUUACAUUAUGAAAAAGGAAUCAACCUUAAAUUUUGAAAAUUGAAGAAGUUGUGAAUCUUGAAAGUCGAGAAAAGUCACUUGAAAAUAGGUCAAAUUUCACCAUGUCCACAAAUGACCUAUAAUGUCUCCAAACUUUUGAUGAUCCUCCAAGCAUAAUUUGUUCUUGUCAUGUAAAGAGAAGUUGUAGAGGAUAUUGAGAAGAUUCAUAUGCAAAAAGAAGCAUUUAAAAAUGUUGAGAAUUUAAGGAGUUGUGAUCCUUUAAACUUAGACUUCAAAUGCUGACUUUUUGGUCAAACCUAUUGGAAUAAACUUGUGUACUUGGACUUUUCUUUCAUUUCAAGGUACAUGGAUGAUCAUAUGAUCUCAAAAUAAGGCAUCUUUUAAUGUCUUUUGAUUGAAUUUCUCAAGGUUUGAGGUAACUUGUUGAAGAAGGCAUGGAAAUAAACACAUGAACCUUUGACUUUUCUUGAGAGAUAAACCACAAAACUUUGAGAUACUCUUGAUCAAAAUGAGAUUGAAAGAUGUUUGAGAACUUUAGAGAUCAUGCUUUGAGAGAUAAGCCCCUUGAGAAUCAAU